UGCCAGCAGCCGCGGUAAUACGUAAGUCGCAAGCGUUAUCCGGAAUUACUGGGCGUAAAGCGCACGUAGGCGGAUCGGAAAGUAUGGGGUGAAAUCCCAGGGCUCAACCCUGGAACUGCCUCAUAAACUAUCGGUCUAGAGUUCGAGAGAGGUGAGUGGAAUUCCGAGUGUAGAGGUGAAAUUCGUAGAUAUUCGGAAGAACACCAGUGGCGAAGGCGGCUCACUGGCUCGAUACUGACGCUGAGGUGCGAAAGUGUGGGGAGCAAACAGGAUUAGAUA
rnacentral:rRNA from 1 species